GUGGGGAAUUUUGGACAAUGGGCGAAAGCCUGAUCCAGCAAUGCCGCGUGCAGGAAGAAGGCCUUCGGGUUGUAAACUGCUUUUGUACGGAACGAAACGGUCCGGGUUAAUACCCUGGGCUAAUGACGGUACCGUAAGAAUAAGCACCGGCUAACUACGUGCCAGCAGCCGCGGUAAUACGUAGGGUGCAAGCGUUAAUCGGAAUUACUGGGCGUAAAGCGUGCGCAGGCGGUUUUGUAAGACAGGCGUGAAAUCCCCGGGCUCAACCUGGGAAUUGCGCUUGUGACUGCAAGGCUGGAGUGCGGCAGAGGGGGAUGGAAUUCCGCGUGUAGCAGUGAAAUGCGUAGAUAUGCGGAGGAACACCGAUGGCGAAGGCAAUCCCCUGGGCCUGCACUGACGCUCAUGCACGAAAGCGUGGGGAGCAAACAGGAUUAGAUACCCUUGUAGUCC
rnacentral:rRNA from 1 species